AUUAGAAGGUCGGGUCACCGGAGACAUUCAGCCGAAUGAUUCAAAAAACUUAACUGAAGGAGAUAGUUAUGAGUUUUCGAGAUUUUAUGUCAUACAUAAUUCCCGACAACGGAAGCUCACCCAACUGCCGUACUAUAUUCAGAUCGGCCAAAGGACAACAGCAUUGAAUGUUACACUUGAUGGUCCGAUGUUCCCAGUUCACAGUUUGUCACCUCAGAGAUACACAAAUCUAUUGCGGUUAGCCAGUACACCCACAUACUUACCAGACGUCGUGGGACAGAUAGUCAUAAUACAAAAAAUAAAACUUAACCACCCAGAACUCAAUAUUGAUGCUACGAUUGGCCUACGACUGAACAGGUCAACGAUUGUUAAACUCAUAUUGUGCGACCAGCAAGCAGCAGAUUUUAGCAUCCUACAAAGCAAGAAGAAUAGAAAAUUUAAAGUUAUGAUCAUCACAAGCGUAAUUCCUAAACUAAUCCAAGGUACAUAUUUCAAUUUAACACAUCAAAAAUAAUACAUAUAUGAAUAUUUUUCUUAUCAACAUAAAAACAAUAUCCAAUAUUUGCAGGCAAACUUAUACUCCAUUCAUCACCAGCAACAGUUUCUACUUCAACAAAUCAAUUGAUUACAUAAAGCAUUUCAAAAGGCGAAUUAGAGAUUAUGCAAAAACAUGCAGCACAGAGUGAUCUUCCUUCAUUCAUAAUCCGGAUUAUUAUUCUCUCUCUCAAAGAAC